rnacentral:lncRNA from 1 species
AAAUGGGUGACUCCAGAAGGCCAGAGGACUUGGGGACAUUUGAGGUGCAUGUGUAAGGCAACAUCAAAAAGAAAAAGCCCCUGUGACAUUUUCAUGAAUCCACAUGGCAGCUUGAGGGCAGGCUCGGGAAAACCCUAGAAGCAGCUAGAGAAACUGUGAACUGAGGAUGUGGCUGUGAAGUUCCCCAUCUGCUCCUGGGGAGGAGAAUUGACCCACCUCUUGGAGAUGGGAGAUAAAAACACAGCCCCGAGGCCACAGCUGUGUGAUAUACCAGGUCAAUUGGCACAACCAAUCUACUGGGGAACUGAAGCAGGUGAUGUUCAGACGGAACAUGGAGAGAACCGAGUGAGCAUCUCUCCUGGGCUUUGGGGCCUCGGAGGAGCAAGUCACCAGGCCUGGAGACUGAAUAUCAGACUUACAUGUUCACCAUCCUGUCUUCUUGGAAAAAUGGAUUUUAAAUCUAAAUCUUGCCACUGAGCAGGGCCAGACUGGGAAUCAAAGGUGCUGGCACAGACUGGCAACUGGCAUGGUGUUUGAUUCUUUUGCAAAAUGCUCACAACCCUCUAAGUCCAUCGCUCUGUGCCUACCAGGAACUGUGAAUGGACCACAAGGCAUCACAGACGUCCACAGGGUACCCAUCAUGUCUGAGGGCUGUUUGGAGCCACUGUUUUUUUCCCUUGUUAAAAUAAAUGGGCUUUUGUGUUGGAAACGAUUUCACGGUUUGAUUUCCUCUGAGGACAUGCAACCCCUAUUGACAUGAAAGUGCCUCACGGAUCCUCCCUCUGCUGUGGAGCUGGUUGUCCUGGGUGACCUUCCCUCGAGGCCUGCAGGGAGGCCUGUGUGGGGAUGGCU